AGCCAGGAAAAUGUUGUUAAGUAUGGUAAAAAUCUCCAUCUUAGGGAGAAAAGGACAGUGAGCAUUGCUGCCUUCCCUCCUAUUCUCCUUUACCCACAGGUUUCCUCCCCCAACUUAAGAGUAUGCAUUAGGAAACAGAGGAGGGACAGUUUUCAUGGGAGAAAUGGGAAGAAGGAAGACUGGAAGAAUGUGUGCACAUACGGGGAUAGGAGAAAGAAUUUUGGAGCCCAGAGUAGCUUCUAUUGAUUGUAGCUCUUUGACCUGGAUGUUUAAAAAGGAAUGAAGAGCAAUUACAGUACCAGAGUCACCUGAUAACCCACAGAGAUGUAAAGUUUCCAUGAGGGUACAGUAGUAUGAGUUAUAAUGAAGUUUUGGAACCCAACUGUCAAUCACUUUGAAAGUAUGGUUACAUGAGUUAAUGGUGAGCAUGAUACCAUGAGUUUUGCUUUAGAUAAAUUAUUUAGCUUCCUAUGGAGAUCAAAAUGUGUUAACACAGCCUCGAGGCAUCAUCUGAGCUUAUAUCAUUCAUGAGACAAGAAGAAUAUACCCGCGUGGCAUCAGAAGUGGUCCAUAUGGAUGACAGCGUGCUGGGCACAGGCAGAGACAAAUGUCAAGGACACUGACACAGUCCUAAGAGAUCAAGAAGUAGAAACGCAUCAUGUUUACAAUGAUCAAAUAUAAAUGAGAAGUCUGUGUGCCUAUCUGACAGUGAAUGGCAUUAUCCAUUGGUCCAGAGGGGAACAGCAGGACCAGGCACUCCUCUUCAGAUCCCCAGGUCUCACCAAUCAGAACCAGGUCUUGUAUUUGCAGUUCAAAUGUUACAUUAUGUUAAAAAGUGCCAAAACUGGGGCACCUGGGUGGCUCAGUCGGUUAAGCGUCGGACUCUUGGUUUCAGCUGGGAUCAUGAUCUUGAGGUUUGUGACUUCCAGCCCUUCAUUGCAUUCUGUGCCAACUGUGCAGAUCCUGAACAGUUCUCUCUCUCUGCCCCUCCCUUGCUUGUGUGCUCUCUCAAAAUAAAUAAGCAAACUUUAAAAAAGUGUCAAAAUUAUUAUGUUAGUGAUUGAUAUGAAAAAGUUGCUUUUAGGUAGCAUCCCUUACUUUAUUUAGGAAAGUACAUUUUGGGAGCUGGAUCUUAUGAUAGAUUGGAUUAUUGUUCUCUGCUCAUAACUGCUCCCUGUUGUGGAAUUAUACAGAAGCACAUUUUGCCAUGUGACAACAGUACCUCCCACUAGAGUAAAUGAAGAAUGUUUAUCAAAGUAAAUAAAUGUGGUGACUACCAAGGGAAUACAUAUUUUAUUCAUCAUUAUAUUUGGUAAAACAACAAUAACAACAACAACAAAAGACAAACAAAAAAAUUAUCCCACUUGAGACAGGUAAUAUGUACACAAAUUUCAGAAAUAUUGUAUUUUGAAAUAAGAGAGAUUCCUUUGUGUUACACAAGUUAAAAAUAAUUAAAU